rnacentral:rRNA from 1 species
GACGAACGCUGGCGGCGUGCCUAAUACAUGCAAGUCGAGCGAAGUUUUUCUGGUGCUUACACUAGAAAAACUUAGCGGCGAACGGGUGAGUAACACGUAAAGAACCUGCCUCAUAGACUGGGACAACUAUUGGAAACGAUAGCUAAUACCGGAUAACAGCAUUAACUGCAUGGUUAAUGUUUGAAAGUUGGUUUUGCUAACACUAUGAGAUGGCUUUGCGGUGCAUUAGCUAGUUGGUGGGGUAAAGGCCUACCAAGGCGACGAUGCAUAGCCGACCUGAGAGGGUGAUCGGCCACACUGGGACUGAGACACGGCCCAGACUCCUACGGGAGGCAGCAGUAGGGAAUCUUCCGCAAUGGGCGAAAGCCUGACGGAGCAACGCCGCGUGAGUGAAGAAGGAUUUCGGUUCGUAAAGCUCUGUUGUUAGGGAAGAAUGAUUAUGUAGUAACUAUACAUAGUAGAGACGGUACCUAACCAGAAAGCCACGGCUAACUACGUGCCAGCAGCCGCGGUAAUACGUAGGUGGCAAGCGUUGUCCGGAAUUAUUGGGCGUAAAGCGCGCGCAGGUGGUUUAAUAAGUCUGAUGUGAAAGCCCACGGCUCAACCGUGGAGGGUCAUUGGAAACUGUUAAACUUGAGUGCAGGAGAGAAAAGUGGAAUUCCUAGUGUAGCGGUGAAAUGCGUAGAGAUUAGGAGGAACACCAGUGGCGAAGGCGGCUUUUUGGCCUGUAACUGACACUGAGGCGCGAAAGCGUGGGGAGCAAACAGG